rnacentral:lncRNA from 1 species
UGACCUUGCGCCACCAAUGCUAUGAACCACCGGUGGCGGUGCUGAUGCUACGUGCUUUCAGUGGCUGUCCAAUACCACCGCCACUGCUGCUACGUGUUGGACAGCCGCCACUGCUAUCAAUUUGGGUAUUUAAAAAAAAGGCCAGGUCAUAGGCCUGCAAUGAACGUCUCGUCGCCGAAGAUGCAAAAAGCAAAUCUCAUCUCGAUUAAAUCAGUGGAUCCAAGCAACAUACAACAGAAACAAAACAAUUACUUUAACAGAGAAACUAAAUCAGUCACGAGCAUACACCAUUACAGCACAUCAUUACAAAAAAACGAUUACAAAAACGAAAUCGAGCCAACCACCGCUUCCGGACGCAAGCACGGAGACUCAACAAUGCUCCUCCACCGGACGGCCACCACCAUGUCAGAGAGAGUGUGUGAGUGAGAGAGAGCAUUAACAGAGGAAACCGAGAUAGAGUCUGUGAAUGAUGAGGAGACGUACCCGUGGCUAUAGCGGCAGCGGUUGGGGCGGGGGCGGCCGGAUCUGGACCUGGUAUGGCCGGAUCCAUCGAUUUGGUGGAGAGGACGGCUGGAUCCAGCGGCUCCGACGGUGGUCGUCGAUGGAAGAGGAGGGGGGAGGACGCCGCUGCUGUCUCUCCGUCGGUGCGGGACAGAUGGUGGCCGGACGUGGCGGCGCGGAGCCCUCCUUGGCGGCAGCGGAGCUGACAAGAUGCAGCCGCCCUAUUUUGGCGGCAACGGAGCUGACAAGAUGCAGCCGCCCUCCCGGCUGCAAGUGGCGCCGGCCUUGUCUCGAUGGCGACGACUAGGACCGAGGAGGGAGUAGAUCGGGAGUGAAGGGUUUUUGAGGUGGACCUAACCCACUACGAGAGGGCCUAUUCACCUAUACCAACUACCAGAGGGUGUAGUUGGUUAGUUCCUUUUUAUUUCUACUUACUUAGUGCAAGCUUCCGGACGGCAGAGCCACUCACGUUAAAGCAAGUCUUGAAUCUGGGCGGCUAUGCCACUCACGUUGAAACAAGACCGUUGUGAUUACGGGCGAAUCCGCUCACGUUAAAUCACAACUUAAACGCACUAAGUACUUAGAAAUAACUAGGCCUAACCGGGAGACUUAUAUGAACAAAGUACUAAUAUAUUGAUUUAUGAAUACUAGUACAAAGAGAGCAUACACACCUUACUCUUACUCACACCUUGUUCUCCACCUUCUUCACC